UGCCCGCGGUGCGCUCCCCGCCCGGGCGCGGCGCUCGGCCCUGGCAGCGCUCGGGCCGCCGCGGCUGCUGCGCCUGCGGCCGCCGCCGAUGUCGCACCAUUUGGCUGUCACCCUGUCGCAAAGGCGUCGCUGCUUUACGGCUCCCGGAGCACGUGACCGGGCGGGAGUAAGAGCGGGCUGCCUCGGAGGCGGAGAGCAGCGCGCGCCCCCGGCCCCAGCUGCCCCGCGCGGGCGGAUCGGCGCGAGGCGCCGAGCGCGGGGGCGGGCGCGAGCCCCCUCAUCCCCACAGCCCCGCGGCCGCCUCGCCACCUCCCUCCCUCCCUACACACUCCGCUGGUGGCGCUUCCCCACCCGUUAGGCUCCAGCGCUGGGAAUCCUGUCGUUUCCUUCUGUGCUGGCGGGGCUUGGGGGGCGUGUGGCACAUUCCUGGUGUUGGGGGCUGCAGGGGCUCGGCUCUCCCGGGCCCAGGAGACAGGUUAAGCCCUCAGUUUGUUGGGUAGCGAAGGCAGGUAGCUCAGGAAGGAGAGUUCACGCUUGUCUCAAGCAGCCUUGUCUCAUGCCGCCCUGGGGACCUGGAACAGUGGCCCAGGAGGUUGUGGGUGAUGAAUCCUGUCUUCACCAGAUAUAAUGUGAAAUCACUGCUGCAAGCAAGGACAUUGCCUUACCUGCCCCAGCCCCAAGAAAUGGAUCCUGGCAAUUCCUGUAGCCCCAGACCUGAAGACUGACAUCCUCUCCUCAGGAGCUCAUACAACCAAAUGUUACCUCUGAAAGGUAUAUAGUUAAGGAACCCAGAUGGACAAGCUCAAGUGACAUUGAGGAGAAACUGUGUGAUUAUCCAGCUGUACUGACACCAUUAGGCAGCUUGUUCUGGAUCACAGGGAGGUGGGUGGAUGGGCACACAGAACUCAUUGCUGAACUACUGAAGUUGGUGUUUGCAUUGCAAGUGACAUCUGGCUGACAGGAACUUGGAGAAAUGGGAUACAAAGUGAAUGCUGCAGUUACCACGGUAUCAUAUUUAUCAAAAGGCUUAAGAGUUCUUGAACAGGAGGUAAUCUGACACGAAGUGUAUUUACAGUAUUGAUACCUGAUGUAUUACUUCAUCAGCAAAUUCAACAAGGCCAGGAUGUCUUCAUUUCCUUCAGAGCAAGAGCGGUAAGAGCAGUGUGGUGGAAGUAUUGGUCUUGUGUGGCCAGCCGGCGAGAGCCCAUCCGCAGCUGUGAUGAGCAGAGCAGACAUGGGAGACAGGAGGCAGCUGAAGCCAAAGAGGACCCACGCCUGGAGCUGUGUCUGUGUGAUUGGAGCAGAGAGAGGCCAGGACCCAAGGAAAUCCCAGCAGCAAGGGAAAAAAACAGAUUGACUCUCAGUGACUCAUUUAGCUCCUGGAUUGGACAGAUCUCUCCCCUGCUGGCAAUUUGGCUGAGCAUCAAUGGACAGAUACCAGGAUGAAUAGCUUAAAAUAAUUAGGGGUUGGGAAUUUGCAAAACUGCUAGCCAUCCAAUUCUUUACUGUGCAAUGUGAGGCAGAAAAAAAGAAAUUACAUUUAGGUUAUUAAAUAUUAAGUCAGUGGAUUUACUUCCAUUUGGUGCAGAACAGGAAACUGGCUAAAAUUCAACAUUUAUAUCAUUGUGUUGAUGGUCUGUUUAUCACUGAGCAAGUAAGUGCCUUUUGGCAGGUCAAGCUCUUUGACACAUGGGGCAAAUGUGUGCUUAAUUUCUCCCAAACAGAAGAAUUAAUAUAAUAAUAAUUAACACAGAUGAGAACAGAAUUAAAAUCAAGUACAGUCAGGAGUUCAGUUUAAUGCCAGGUGUCUCACAUUCUAAAUGAUCUGGGGCCAGAUUUUUCCUGUUGAAGGUAGCAAGGAUUUUUGCCUUUGUCACUUAGGGGAGCUGAAGUGGGCCUUGGAUGUAGAGAGACAGGAUUCCCUGUACUUUCUAUUUAAUGCACAAAACCAGAAGCAACAGGCUCAUUUAGUAUCAGUAAAGGUCAGUUAAAAUUAUAGAGACAUCCUUUGGAGCAAAUCCUCUGCCUUGUAUUUGCAUAUUUAUGAAUUAGAGAUUACGACAGGCUAUUUCAUUUAUUAGAGCAGCACUGCUAUAGUUAAUAGUCUGUCAGUAUUUCCAUUAUAAACCCCGUUUUUCAGUGUUUAAUAUCUCAGCCAUUUAAAAUCACAUCAGGAAGCAACUUGGUCUUAUGUUGCUGGCCAGGUGCAUUUUUUUGUUAUGGAUUAUUUUCAAUAAUGAAAUAUUGCUCAUCAUAUAUGCAGAUGAGCCACAGCAUUUCUGUUGGAGGGACAUAGAAAGGUGUGUAAAUUCAUUGUGGCUUUGUUUUUCUUUAGGAAAGAAGGGAAAAGGGGGAUUUGAUCAAUCAUGUCAACUGUGGUCUUAUGUUUGGAGAGCACUUUUUGAAGCAACUGCUUUCAGAGGAAACACUGGUUCUCAGUAGGAAAUCAGGUUGCUGUUUGCUUGCCAGUGGUGACCAAGGUAAACAAGUGAGGAUAGUUACCCUGUCCCUCUGAAAAAUCUUGUCUACCAGUCAUGGGUGAAGCACCCCAGAAAAGAAAGCAGUGAACAUAGAAGAGCCUUUAGAAGUAACAGGAGCCCAAAUUACACAUUCAGAAAGCUGGCCACUUUUUAAGUAUCUGCCAGCAGCAGAGAAAUGCAGUACUGUCCUGACUUUAUUGCUGAUAUUUGGGGUAGAGGGGAUGUUAAGGCUUUAGGGGCAGUUAUAAAGUUCCUUGCAUGUGUCCCUAAACUGAACAAUGUCAUUUAUUUCAGCAGUCUCACAUCAUUCUCCUUCCAAGCAGCCCCACUUUGCUUUCAUAGAGGUGUUAGUUCACUAAAAAGUAACUGCCUGGCAAGGGCAAAUGUUCAGACUAAAAUACCAAUUUUUAACUUGCUAGGGCAGCAAAAAGUUACUCUUCAUAGUAGCUGAAAAAAGCUGGUCUUGCACUAUAACCUCUUUUCACAUGAAAAAAGUUAUAACUAUAACUUUUUUCACAUGCCCUGUGAAAAAAGAAACAGUCCAAACAGAAACUCCUGGGGAGUGGUUUGUUUUCAAGGUCUUGAAAAAUCAUUUGCUGCCUCAGUAACUGACAAGUUAGAAAUCAAAUUCAUGAAGAGGAAAAAAAAUGGAGCUAUAUUCAAAAUAUCUUUUGUUCUUUUGCCUCACAAACACAGUUGGAGGUGGGAACAUAGUCCAUAUUUUCCAUCUUUCUCAUCAUAAAGGUCUAUGUGCACAACUGGGGGUUCCAGGGAAACUAGCAAUGGCAGACCAAAAACACCCUGAAACAUCAUAUUUAAUCCAUUUGGUGCAUUGCAGCUAAUCAAGCUAUGCCCUAGGCAAGACCCAGGGCUUGGCCUCUGUGCCACCUUCUGUAAAUUUUGACUAAAUUAAGAUUAACAGCAAGUUAAGAAGUUAUAUUACGCAAAAAAAAAAAAAAUUAAGCUCAUGUAAGACAAGAUUGCAACAAAAAGUCUCUGAUCUUAAAUCCCCCAAAUCCAAAUGGUGAGCCAGACUGUUCAUCCAGUCUCUCAUCAACAUCAUGAGAACUAAGAGACCAAAUCAAGACAUUCCACUCAGGCUUAUUGAAAAUCUGUUCCAAAUCCAAGUGGCAAGGGCUAAUCAGUAGUGCUUUCUUAAAACAACGAUAUUUGGGAUAUUUUGUAAGUAAUUGCUAACUAAAAGCGCAUUUUCCAGACUCCUUCCAGAGUUGCCAUUGAAAAAAAAAAAUAUUCCUUCCCUAGGCACAUCACAGUGCCUUUUCAGCCAAAAAUUAUCUCUGGUCGUGAGAAGUGAUCAUAACUCAAAAGGAGGCAGACUACAGAAAUUCUAACUGUUUUGAAUACAAAAUUACUUCAAAAGUCUUAUAAAAAAGGUAUAACCCAAAGUAAGGGGGGGAGGGGGUUUCUGCCAAACAUGUAGAAAAUGUCAUACAUUUUAAAAUGAAGUAUUACAUGCUGUCUGCUGGAAAUUCUGUCCAGGCUCAGUAAGCUAUCUGGACAGCAUUGUUUACUAGAUACAUUUGUUAUUCUUUGUCUUUAAUUUGCAGUGACAUAAAAUCUUGCACAACUGACUUGAGUGCAUCUUUGAAUGCUAAAAAUACUAAUUAUUAUGUAAUUAGUCAACAGGAUGUGUGUAAUUGUGCAAUACCAGCAUUCCUGGGUGUGGUUAAAUACAUAGGUAGAAUGCCAACACUCAUCUAGAUGUAGUAUUAUAAAAUUACACAACAACAUACACCCUGGGUGGAUACUCUAAUUAUAUUUUACAUUUAAACAAUAGCUACAUUAGCAAAAUAGAACUUAUUAUUUUUAAAAAUAUCUUCCCACAGGCAUGGAUCAUAGUAGAUGAUGGUAAUAAUAUUGCCCAAAUAGAGUAUCUUCCAUGUCUCAAGGGACUCAGCCUUCUUCCUAAAUAUACAGAUAGGAGACAGAGACCAGGCAUAAAGAGGCCUUCAUUUACUCAUGGCAUAAAAACCACCCCAAAACAGACAUGUGACAAUUGCUGAGUCAUGCACCAGAAUAAUUGAAGGCAGAGAAUCACCAGGAAGGACUUUCUAUCUCAUGAAGAAUCACAUGAGAUUAACCAGAAAUGUGACUAGAACUGUUAUAUUUUUAUGACUUAACAAACAUCAGGACAAUCCUUAAGCCACAGUGGAAACAGAACCACACAGUGAAUCAGAUUCUCCUUUGAACUAACCCAGAAAGAUUUAGGUUACAGCCAUCAAAUGUCUUGAACAUUUGAGUUAAUUCUGAUCUCUGCUAAUAUUUACUGCCAGUGUGAUGUAAAAGUCUGCUGCACUCCCAGCCAAAACUUCCCUGCCUGGUCAUCCCUCAUUGUUCCUGUGGUUCAUCUGCAGUGGCUGACAGGUAUGCAGGUCGCUGGGACCAGCACUACAGAGAUGGUAACUUAUGCAGUACAAACAGAAAACAUGGCACACCAGUAUUUACUCUCUUUUGAUAUGGCUUCAAGGUGAGAAAUCCAGGAGAAGAAUGGAAAGGUGAAAAUUCCAACACCAAAAACAAAUCAAACCAAAAAUCCCUAAGCUGUGACUCAUCAUUGAUGUAAAAUGUCAGAGCCUAAAGCUGUCUUUUUUUUUCAUGUGCCUGAGUGCAGAAGGGUGAGGUGCCCUCUAAGGAUGAUUUUAUCUUUUACUUUUGAGUCUGAAAAUCUUGGAUGUGGUUUGGCACGUUCAUAAAAAUAUUGUGAUGAAGUUGAGUUGCCAUCUGGAAAUUAUAAAUAUAGAGACGUAAGAAAGCUUGAGGAGAAAACCGAAGAUGAUGGAAGAAGAAUCAGCAGUGCACAUGAAUGAGGUUAAAAACUGCAGACAAUUAGCUACAAGAUGACUCCUACUAAAUAAAUCAUCAAAGACUUGACUACUGCUUCCAGGUUUCUACUGUGAUAUUAGCACAUUGGAACAGUCAAAAAGAUGUUAAUUUGGCCAAAGUUUUAGAAAUGUGCUACUCUUGUUUGAAUUAACAAAUCAACAAACAAGGCCAAUCUAUAAUGUCUUGCCAAGGCUAUAAAGCUUCUAGGGAAGCUGUUAUAUUUAAUGCUCAGGAUCAAGGGCCCCAUGAUAUGCAAAAUAAGCCUCUUUGUGUUAAAUGAAAGCUGCACAGGAAAGAAAACCUGAGCUUGUCAUGGAAUUUCACAUCUCGUUUCAGCAUUCAAUAAAGUGCUUUGGGUGUCCAAUUUAAUAGAGAAGCACAAUUUAUUUUUUCAGUAUGCCUCUGCAGAUCAGGCCUUGCUCUGUUCUCAUUUAGACUUUAAUCUAAGACUCAAAGUAAAAAGAAAAUAUUCCAAUUGCUUCCAACAGGCAUCCAGUCAGUCUUGUGCCAAGGUUUUACUUAAAUGCAAAUUCAGUGCUAAGUUCCUCCCAAGAAAAAGAGAGGAAAGUGAUAGGAGUCUGCACACUUAACUUUCCAUCCUCAUGUUAUAUGCUGCUGAUAGAACCUAUCCUCUGACUUGGCAAAAACUUCUUAAUUUGUCUGGUCUUUCUGCAGGGUUGACUGGUAUUAAAAAAAUUCUCACCUCAACCUUCUUUAUUGCUGCAUCAAGUCAGCUCACUACAGUUGUACUCUUUUCUACUGCUUGAGAUUUACUUGUGUCCCUGGUGUGUUGUGAUAAGCCUCUGAAUGUCACUGCUGUGAAGGUUUUGUUCUUCCCAAAGACUCUCCUGAGGUACAGUGAAGGCAAGUAGGGUUUGCUUGGGUUUAAAGGUAAAUUGUGUAUGUCACUAUAAUAAAGGGAAAUAUGCAAAGUGUUGGUUGAAUUUAAAAGGAAUUUGGAAUACUUGACUUGUCACAAGGCCAGGUGAUAUUAUGUGGACUUCUGAAAUUGCUUAUAGCAGGAGAACCUCACCCCGUGGUGAGUGCCAGGUCAAGGCCUGGUUCUCACAUACAUCUUCAAUUUAAACCAUCUUCAGAAUUAGUCCUAAGUCUUACUGUCACUCAGUAGUGUAAAAUAAAAAACAUGAUCUGAAAAACACUAGAGAGAAAUACCGAAGUUUUGCACAUCAAAAAGGCUAAUUAGAAACUCUUUUCUUUUAUAACAAAUAAGCCAAGCAUAUUGACAUUAAUUAUAGGAAAUACUCAAGGUCUGGAAUAAUCUAUUGAAGAGCACAGAUGUAUACCAAAUCCUAUGUAAAUGAGUGUGUGCAACUCUUCUUAAGGUAACACAUUUAUUUAUAAAAGUGAGCUGUGUGUUCAGGUUUCUUUUCAAGGGGUAAAAAAGGUUCCUUUCUCUUCCUUGCUCUUACUCAACAUAGUGAGAUAGUUAUUUCUGUAGUUAUAUCUGUUCAUCACAGAUGCAUUCCAGGGGCUUGGAGCAGAUUCCUCCUGUACCUGAAGUAGUAGUAGUUCUGUUUGCUUUAUUCCAAUUAAUUCUGCAGUUGUUCUGUCAGCUUUACUGGAAUUGGAUCACCAUAACUAGCAGCAGAAUUUGUUCUCCUCUGGUGGUAAAAUUCCUUUGGUUUCAAAAAAGCUAAUGGAAUUCAUAACUGCUUUUGUAUUUUGCAAUCUGUGUCCCAGAGCUGACUAGUCACAUUGGUUUCUUAAAAAAAUACUACAACUACGAUUUGCUACAUUGCCCAUUAGUUUUGCCAGUAGAGACUCUUAACAACCCUGGGAAGAAAAUUUCACAUAUCCCUUCUUUUACCUUGUCUGGCUGCAAAGAAAUCCUCUUAACUUUUGAUAGCUUUACUUCAUGGGGGAAAGGUUCUUCUCUGUCAGGGCCAUGACAGGUGGGCUCAGCAGGCUGAAUCAUUCCACCCCAAAUGCUCCUUCCAUCUUACUCGCUGCCUCUAUACAGAUGAAAGAUGCUGUGCUUUCCAGGUCUAAUUUCAUUAAUGGAUCUCCCAAAUACUUGUCUGAGCGUGCUCCUUAAAUUAGAUGAGAUGUCUACCUGCACUGUGGCCACUGUAGAUUAUCACCCAGCUGGGACUGGUAUGCUUCCUGAAGCCUGCUCCACAAUCUCCAAACCAUCCUACAAAUGUCAGGGCUUAGCACUUCUGCUCUUAGAAACACCCACCUGCAAGGGCAUAUGUUGGUAGUGAACUGUUGCUCUCUCCCAUCACUAGCAGAGAAUAUUAAUGUUGCCAUUGCUGGUUCAACUCCUUUAAUUCUCCCAAUUUUCCUAACAAUUGUCUCAACAUUUCACAGGUGCGUCCAGAGCUACUGUGUCGGCACAAGUUCCAAAAAUCUCAUGAUAAAGUGUCUGCUUUCACUUCUCAGAUUCAAGCUGAUUAAAGGAUUUGAGGAAAAGUGCUGUGGGCAAUGAAGAACAAUGAAGAUCAUUUACAUGAGCUGCAGGUAUCAUUUCAGAUCGAUAAAAAGUAGGAAAAAAUAACCGCAAUUUAACAUUAAAACAGUAAUCUCUAUAUAGCCUCAAGAAUUGUCAACAACUGGCCUUGAGUCUAGCUUGAAGAUUUUGGUAACCUCACCACAUGCUACACGAGUCUGAACAAGAUUGCCUGGGCCACCGGUUACAGGGAGGGCACAUAACACUGGCCAAAUUUCGGUAUUUCGCCUGUUCUUACACUUCAGCUUCUGAACAUCCACUACUGGUAAUUAUCAGACAAAAAAUAUUGGAAUGGCUAGAUUUUUUCAACCUUGUGUUCUUGAUCUUAGGUUUUUAUGUUUACCUCAUUUUUAGUGAGUCUGGAAAGGAGGCUUCUGUCCGAAUUGUACUGUCAAGGAACACCAGCAAUUUUUACUGACCCUGGUCACCCAAGGGCAUCCUUUUACAAAGAGACACCUCUGAUGCGUGGAUCCAUGUUGACUGACAUGCACUUGUAGAUGCAGCACUUGUAAAAGAAACCACCUUGGAGUUGCAUAUCUUUUAGUGGCAACUAAAUGCAGAAAAGAGCUGCAAGAGUGGGAGCAACAGGAGACUGUGUUUGUGAAAUCAGAGUGAAAGUUUGAUAUAUAUCAUUUCAUUUGUUUGAGAGUUAGAUGGUUCUGUUAGUAACUAUUCCUUACAUAUGGAUCAGACUUCUAAAGACCUUCUUAAGUUUGCUUUGGAUAAAAGUAUAUAAAAAAACCUGAACCCAUGGGCUUUUGCCUUCACUGUGCAGUCAGUAGAUUAGAAGGAAAAGGAGCUGUUACACCUGUGAAAUUAAACAUGACUUAAAAAUAGUUUAGGAUGAUAAUGAAGGUGAAAGAUCAAAAUAAAGUGUGAUAUCUGUACAAAGUG